GCUGCCUCUCGGUGGAGUCCUCCCACACCCCACCUCUUGGGCAGUUUCCCCAGUUACAAUACUAAGCCCACUGGAUUAGGGUUUAUUGCUGGGAAGAAUGAGGCUUCUCCCAGAAUUAAAUGAACCACUGGAGGCUGGAAUCCACAGGACCUUUUACUGAGUGCCUUCAUGGGACCCAACUUCAGUGGAGGCAUCCACUGGAGCUUUGUGGAAGAGAUAGUGCUGACCAGGAGAAGAGCCUCAGGCAGCCCCCAGCUCCCCUCCAGAGCACGGCAGGAGCGUCUGUGAAGCUGUGGCAGUCUGUUGACCAGACCCCCAUGUCAGGAUCACCAGGGUUGGAAACUCCUGCCAUCUAGUCAUCUUAAGACAACACACAUAUCUCUCAGUCUGUGGCCUGAAGAUGCAACAUAAGCAAAGAGCAAGUAAUGAUCUGGCCAGGAUGCGGAGGAAUCAAUGCCACUUAAAGAAGCAGACAAAGGGAGGCUGGAGAGAAACCCCAUCUCCUCAAGGCUGGAGCCAGGGAGUCAGCGAAUCAAUGGCACUUCCUAGCAGCAGGCCCACUGACGAAAAUGGACCCUCCCUAGAACUGGCAGGAAAGACCAUUCAUAUCCACCUGGCUUUUAUCACUGAGGGAUGAAAGGAAAUAUGGGAAAUAAUGAGGGUUUCUAUAAUAUGAAACAGGGUAGAUGUUUUCAUAUCCCAGGACUUAGGAGGCAUUUCAUUUAAUUGGUGUCUGGGGAUUCGACACAGAGAUUCCAUACCCCUGCUUCAUUUCUAGGGAAGGUGGCCAAUAUUCCCUCAUUAUUGGCCAACUGGGACUUUUUCAAAUUAUGCCCUUCCUUUACUAAAGGAUUUCUCCCGAGUUUGUCACCUGCUGUUUAAUGGGUGGGAAGGGCCGGUCCUUCCUAUCUGGGGUUUCACAGCCAGCGCGGCCGGGAAAUCAGAGGGCUGAGUCUGGAGGCAGAGGUUUAAGGCCUGAGCUGCCAAGUACUCUUAGCAUGAUUCACAUGUACCCAUUUCUCUCCACUCAGCCAAGCACAGCCCCGAUCUGGAGCUCAGCAGCUCUCUUCUACACCAUGAUAAUAGUGUCCUACCUGGUUAAGGAAACCUAACUGUCCAGUUAGUCAGCAGACAUUUAUUAAGCACCUAUUAUGUACCCAGUGCUGGGGAAAAACAGGGAGACCAAAGACAGUCUCUGCCUUUGUGGAAUUCAUAAGUGAACGGAGGAGACAACAGGCCACUAAGUGCAUACCAGCCAUAUGCUGGCGCUGUCCACACUCACAAAUUUCAUAUAUGAAACAUCAUAUACACAGGAUACAUUUUAGAAUGAUAUACACAAACACACAUGUGUAUAUACACGUGUAUAUGUCCAUAUGUUUAUACUCCCAUGCAUACAUUGUGUUGCAUACAUGAUAUAUCCAUAAUGUAUAUUAUACAUAUAACAUGUAUGUAUACACAUGUAUUUACAUGCAUAUAUUUCCCAAUUAGGAAAUAAUUAACAGAGAGAAGGCACUAGAAUUAAGAGGGGUUGGGAAAGUGUUCCUGAAGAAGGUGGGAUUUUAGUUGGACUUGAAGGGUCCCAGGAGGCAGAGAUGAGGAGGGGGAACAUUCCAAGCAUGGGGAUGCCAGAGAAAAUA
ensembl:lncRNA